rnacentral:rRNA from 1 species
UAUCGGGGUGGGGCUAAGCCAUGCGAGUCGACACCCCGAGCUACGGUGGGGUGUGGCGCACGGCUCAGUAACACGUGGACAACCUGCCCUCGGGAGGGGGAUAACCUCGGGAAACUGAGGCUAAUCCCCCAUAGGUGAGAGCGCCUGGAACGGUCUCUCACCGAAAAGGUGCGGCACCAUGCUGCCGUUACCGCCCGAGGAUGGGUCCGCGGCCGAUCAGGUUGUUGGUGGGGUAACGGCCCACCAAGCCGACGACCGGUACGGGCCGUGAGAGCGGGAGCCCGGAGAUGGGCCCUGAGACAAGGGCCCAGGCCCUACGGGGCGCAGCAGGCGCGAAACCUCCGCAAUCCGCGCAAGCGGGACGGGGCCACCCCGAGUGCCACCCCAAAAGGGUGGCUUUUGCCCAGUCUGACACGCUGGGCGAAUAAGGGGAGGGCAAGGCUGGUGCCAGCCUCCUCCCGCGGGGUGCUACCGCGGAGGCUGGACGCCGCGGUAAAACCAGCUCCCCGAGUGGUCGGGAUGUUUAUUGGGCUUAAAGCGUCCGUAGCCGGGCUGGUAAGUCUCUGGUCAAAUCCGGCGGCCUAACCGUCGGAUUGCUAGAGAUACUACCAGCCUUGGGGGCGGAAGAGGCCGAGGGUACCACCGGGGUAGGGGUGAAAUCCUUUAAUCCCGGUGGGACCACCAGUGGCGAAGGCGCUCGGCUGGGACGCGCCCGACGGUGAGGGACGAAACCCAGGGGAGCGAACCGGAUUAGAUACCCGGGUAGUCCUGGGCGCAAACGAUGCGGGCUGGGUGUUGGAGCGACUUAGCGUCGCUCCAGUGCCGAAGGGAAACCGUUAAGCCCGCCGCCUGGGGAGUACGGCCGCAAGGCUGAAACUUAAAGGAAUUGACGGGGGGACACCACAAGGGGUGGAGCCUGCGGUUUAAUUGGACUCAACGCCGGGAAUCUUACCGGGGGAGACAGCUGGAUGAAGGCCA